rnacentral:tRNA from 1 species
UAUUUUAAUAGCUUAUUUAGAGUAUAAUAUUGAAGAUAUUAUGGAGAUUUAGAUCUUAAAAUAU